UUUAUUUAUUUUGAGAUGGAGUCUCACUCUAUCACCCAGGCUGGAGUGCAGUGGCCUGAUCUCAGCUCACUGCAAGCUCCACCUCCCGGGUUCACGCCAUUCUCCUGCCUCAGCCUCCCGAGUAGCUGGGAUUACAGGUGCCCACCACCUCGCCUGGCUAAUUUUUUUUGUGUAUUUUUAGUAGAGACGAGGUUUCACCGUAUUAGCCAGGAUGGUCUCGAUCUCCUGACCUCGUGAUCCACCCAUCUCAGCCUCCCAAAGUGCUGGCAUUACAGGCUUGAGCCACCGCGCCUGGCCUCUGUAUUUUUUAAAAAGCAAUUAUUUUGAAUUCUUUAAGAGGCAGUUUAUAUAUGUCCAUUUCUUUGGGGUCAACUACUGGGAGGUUAUGUUUUUUAGAUGGUAUUAUGUCUCCCAUUUUUCUUGUUGCUUUACAUUAAUGUCUGUGCACUUAGUGGAACAGUCACCUUUUGUAGACUUUAUGGGCUAGUUUCAUUGUGGACUGACUUUCCUCCAUGGGGUGGGGUGCAGUGGUUCUGGCACCAGUCAGGGUGCCAACUGUGUGGUCUCUGUGCAGCUCUGUCUGCUGAGGUUGGUACAGAUAAAAAUCACAGGGAUCCAUAGCAGUCAAUGUUGUGAGUUUCUGCAGUGGCAGCAAGAGUUGUUGGGUCUUUGGUGGCAAUGACUGCUAAGAUCGCCGCAAUCUAUUUUUUUUUCCCACCAGAGAAGCUAUGGCUGAAGGGAUCCCUCUUGGCACUGGUGCCUGAUGAGUAGCACCCAUGGAAUAAUCACAGAACUCAGGCCUGAUGCACAACUGUGUGGAGGUACUGCAGUUCUGAGUUCCCAGGUAGUAAUGGCAUUGGUGUCUGGGAUGCAGGGAUCCUUGCUGCUGUGUAACAGAAUGCAAGAUGCAGAUGCUUGUUAAACAGCUAAGAGAAUUGAGAAUAAGAGCACUUGUGAGUGCAGCAUUAGAGUAGCUCUAGGAUUGGGGUAAAGUCAAGAUCUUUAUGGCAGCAGAGCUGGUACCCAGAGUGGAGCCACACACAGCAAGAGCUUGGCUCUUGGGCCCAGGGUGCGAACUUUUUACCUGUAUACUUUUGACAAAUGGAUAUCUUAUACAGAACAUUUCCAACUUCCCAGAAAGUUUCCUUGUAUCACUGUCUUGCCAAUCCAUACCCUAUCAGAAGCAAUGAAUUUUUUUCCCUAGCUUUUCCCAGUUAUUCUUUUUGAUUGUUGAAUAGAAUUCCGUUGUAUCAAUGUACCAGUGUUUCCAGCUUGGGACUACUAUAAAUAAGGCUGUUAUGAACAUGCCUAUACAAGUAUUUUUGCAGACAAAUAUUUUCAUUUCUCUUGGAUAAAAAUCUAGAAUUGGGUUUGCUGUGUCAAAGGACUAGUGUACCAGCCUCGGCAACAAAGUGAGACCCCAUCUCUACCAAAAUUUAAAAAUUAGCCAUACAUUGUGUCAUAUGCCUGUAGUCCCAGCUACUGGGGAUGCUGAAGUGGGAGGAUCACUUGAGCCCAGGAGUUUGAGGCUGCAGUGAGCUAUGAAUGUGCCACUGCACUAUAGUCUGAGGGAUAUAGUGAGACCCCAUCUCAAAAAAUACAUAAAAAAUCAAAAUUAAAAUUUAAAAAAUAAAAAAAAAAAACAAAUAAGGAGUAGUAGCUGGAAGCCAACACAUAAUUUUUGCUACUGACAAUGGUCAAGUUUCUGGACAUAGCUUACUGUGAGAGCCAAAUAAUCUUCAUAACUGAGCACUAAAAUUAAAUUCAACAAGCCAGUCAGAGGCAACUGAAUCACCAGAGGCUUCCCUAUAUGAAAGGAAGGAAGGAAGGAACUGAGAUAAACUUGCCCAAUUUUUGCUUCCCAAAUUUACCAGACAAGCCACUCCUCCUCUAGGAGGAAAUGAGAGGUUAGAAACAGACUAGGAGUUAAACUAAUUGAGCUCCUUUAACAUAGUAGGAAACAUCAACAAUGAGAAAGAUAUAUUCCCUCUGUAUUAAUUUCCUAUUGCUGCUAUAAAAAAUGAUCACAAACUUAGUAACUUACAACAAAAUUAAUUUACUGUCUUCCCAUUCUGGAGGUCAGAGUCAUAAAAUAAAGUUGUCAGAGGGCUGCAUUUCUUCUGGAGGC
rnacentral:lncRNA from 1 species